UGUUUCGGCUAGGGGGCCAUCCCGGCUUACCAACCCGAUGCAAACUGCGAAUACCGGAGAAUGUUAUCACGGGAGACACACGGCGGGUGCUAACGUCCGUCGUGAAGAGGGAAACAACCCAGACCGCCAGCUAAGGUCCCAAAGUCAUGGUUAAGUGGGAAACGAUGUGGGAAGGCCCAGACAGCCAGGAUGUUGGCUUAGAAGCAGCCAUCAUUUAAAGAAAGCGUAAUAGCUCACUGGUCGAGUCGGCCUGCGCGGAAGAUGUAACGGGGCUAAACCAUGCACCGAAGCUGCGGCAGCGACACUCAGGUGUUGUUGGGUAGGGGAGCGUUCUGUAAGCCUGUGAAGGUGUGUCGUGAGGCAUGCUGGAGGUAUCAGAAGUGCGAAUGCUGACAUAAGUAACGAUAAAGCGGGUGAAAAGCCCGCUCGCCGGAAGACCAAGGGUUCCUGUCCAACGUUAAUCGGGGCAGGGUGAGUCGACCCCUAAGGCGAGGCCGAAAGGCGUAGUCGAUGGGAAACGGGUUAAUAUUCCCGUACUUGGUGUUACUGCGAAGGGGGGACGGAGAAGGCUAUGUUGGCCGGGCGACGGUUGUCCCGGUUUAAGCGUGUAGGCUGGUUUUCCAGGCAAAUCCGGAAAAUCAAGGCUGAGGCGUGACGACGAGGCACUACGGUGCUGAAGCAACAAAUGCCCUGCUUCCAGGAAAAGCCUCUAAGCAUCAGGUAACAUCAAAUCGUACCCCAAACCGACACAGGUGGUCAGGUAGAGAAUACCAAGGCGCUUGAGAGAACUCGGGUGAAGGAACUAGGCAAAAUGGUGCCGUAACUUCGGGAGAAGGCACGCUGACACGUAGGUGAAGUGAUUUACUCAUGGAGCUGAAGUCAGUCGAAGAUACCAGCUGGCUGCAACUGUUUAUUAAAAACACAGCACUGUGCAAACACGAAAGUGGACGUAUACGGUGUGACGCCUGCCCGGUGCCGGAAGGUUAAUUGAUGGGGUCAGCGCAAGCGAAGCUCCUGAUCGAAGCCCCGGUAAACGGCGGCCGUAACUAUAACGGUCCUAAGGUAGCGAAAUUCCUUGUCGGGUAAGUUCCGACCUGCACGAAUGGCGUAAUGAUGGCCAGGCUGUCUCCACCCGAGACUCAGUGAAAUUGAACUCGCUGUGAAGAUGCAGUGUACCCGCGGCAAGACGGAAAGACCCCGUGAACCUUUACUAUAGCUUGACACUGAACAUUGAGCCUUGAUGUGUAG
rnacentral:rRNA from 1 species